rnacentral:rRNA from 1 species
CAAUAGCGUAUAUUAAAGUUGUUGCGGUUAAAAAGCUCGUAGUUGGAUUUCGGCGGACAGGGGGCGGUUCGAUAUUUGUCGCUACUGCCCCAUUUGUCCGUGUUUUUGGCGGAGGUUUCAGGGUGCUCUUCACCGAGUGUCCUGGGAUACCGUCAGGUUUACUUUGAAAAAAUUAGAGUGCUCAAAGCAGGCUUUACACGCUUGAAUAUUCGUGCAUGGAAUAAUGGAAUAGGACGUCGUUUCUAUUUUGUUGGUUUUCGGAAAUCGACGUAAUGAUUAACAGGGACAGUCGGGGGCAUUAGUAUUCAGACGACAGAGGUGAAAUUCUUGGACCGUCUGAAGACUAACUACUGCGAAAGCAUUUGCCAAGAAUGUUUUCAUUAA